rnacentral:lncRNA from 1 species
UUAGAGAUCCCUAUUUAAGUUGUCUCCCUUGUGAGGGACAAUAAUUCUUAUUAUAAUGGAGAGCUAGCAGAAAGAGCAAAAAUACCUGUGCGUAAUGUGAGUAAUCUUUAAGGUUUUCAAAUCGUUUAAUUACAUUAAUUUGUUGUUCAGCUUAAUACUUUUAACAUCAGAAAUCAUGAAAAGUUAGUUAAACCGCCGAUACAUCACUUUCAAUUCAUCAUGCUUUGCAUUGGCAAUAACCAAUUUUGUCCUGUAUAGAACCAGUCUACAAG